UCUUCCCAACCUCCUUGUAUAGAACUUUCUUGUUUUCCCUCUCUCUCUUUGAAUAACUAUCUACUACACCGUAGCGGAUCCCUGUGACUCGGUGGCUGUCUCGCUUUUCUCAAAUAAUUUUUUCUCUUCUUUUCUUUGUAUUUCUCUGCAACCAAACACUCGAAUACAGUUCCUCUUUCUUACAUUUUCCUCACUGAUUCCCUGACUAUCCUGUUUAGAUCUCUCUCUCUCUUUCGUUUGUGAAAAGCUUCUAUAUCCAUCUCUUUUUGCAGCUCAUGGAAUCAAUUUGUAAACCCUAAUCCCAAUUAUCCGAGUUCGUCAUUGUUCCCUAACAUUAACCGUACACCAUCACACUUUCAAGCAUAACGCGAAGCAAUCAAGUCACCAAAUCACAGGACCUACUGUCAUCAUCCACCACCGGAUCACCAUUGAAUUGCUGAAUCGUUUUAAUGGAAGAGUUGGGUCCACUGAAUAUCAAAGAACUUGAGCAGCUUGAACGAUUCAUCUCUGAAGCAAGCGAGGUCCGCAAAGGUAACAGAGUAUCUGCGUUUAAGAAAUAUGUUAGUUUUUCAGCAAAUUAAAUAGAUAAAGAUUACUGAUGUGGUUCUUAAUUAGCUGCUGUAGCAACUUAAUGUGAUUUCUUUGAUUUCACUUACUUUCAUAAGUAUUUUUCUAUAACAUAUGCUUUGUGCAAACAGCCUUUUUGCAAGAAAUUCUGAUCUAUUGAAAAGGUUUUUCUGCAUUAGGAGUUCGAACAUUCAUAUAACAGAAACCAAUGGGAUAGUUUUACUCUUCAUCAAAGGUUUGACAUUUUUAUAUGUGAAGAAAAUGUACUAUCAAGGAAUUACAUGCCUUUUUUGUGUAAUCCGAAAAUUAUUCAUGUGGAAAAUAAAAAAAGUAAGUGCCUUCUGAAAACAGAAACAUUCCUAAACAAAGGAGCAUAGAGAUGAGGAUCUUCACGAACUGAAGAGGCAUGAUCAAUCUCUUUCUUUGCAUACAUAAGGGCCUCAUUAGGUGGAAAAAACCGCAUGUGUAUCUGAGAUAUAUAUAUCCAGCAAUUUAUUGGUCACAAAUCUCCUCAUCAUAUUUAAAAAAGAAAGAAAGAAGUAAGUUCAAAAUCUCAUCAACUUCUACCUGCUUGCGAGAAGGAACAUGGCCAUGAGGGGAUGAAGAUAAUGUAGCAAUUUUUGUUGUAUCAGCAAGCUUUUUCUCCUCUUUACCCAAUUCUUCUAAACUCUCUUACUUAACUGAGACUGAUUGUACUAACGUGUUAGACGAAUUAGGCAAAAUAAGGGAGUUAGGAAGACUGAGUUGAACCUGUUGAAGGCUUGCCCCUUUGAGAAGUUCACUUGGCUGCACAGUACUAUUGGAGGAUCGAUACAAUGAAUCAGUUUCAUGAAGAGAAAGGAACAGACUUGUCACAUAUGAAGAGAAAUGAACAAUUUGUUUGGUAGAAUUAGUCCUAAUGCAUGGAGACCACUUUAAGGAGAGCUUAUGCUUGUCAGCCACAUGUGCCAACUCACCUAAUGCAUGUUGUCCACAUGUCAAUUAGACUUCUUCUAACAUUCCUUGCAUGGUUGCCAUGUGCCCACCAAGUUUGUCUCUCUUUUGUGCAUGGUCGCCACCUACUCAUCACAAAGGACACCUUGCCCUCCCUCAUCCAUUCACGGCUAGGACUCUUUCACUAUACCCUAUGCAUUGCAAACAAAAAUUGUACUCUCUUUCUUACUCUCUAAGCCGAAGACCCACUUCUUCACUUGGUGUUUCCUUUGGACCGUGGAGAUUCAUCAAGUCUCAUCACCAUCAUCGCCCCCUUUUCUUCCUCAAAACCGAAGGCCUCUAGCUGGAAGCGAACCCGAGAAUAUGAUAAUGAUACAUAUGCCACUAGCUUUCUUCCAUGUGUCAUUCCCGAGUGUAAAAUUUCAUUCUCUCUUCUCCAAUUCUUAUUUACUUGAGUUUAAAGUUUCAACGCUACUUUCAUAUAAAUGCAUUUUAUAGUUAAAGAACUUAGAUACUAACUAGUCAAAUUUUCUUGAGAGAGUUAUGAAGGUAAUUAAAGCCUUAAACUUUAAUCAAAAUCGAUUUAUAUUAUCUGCAGGUAGCUUGAACUAUGGUUGCCAGCCAGCACCACCUCCUAUAAGUUACUUAAUUCCUUUUUACCAAAGUAGAUUCCUUUUACUAAUUUCAUUCUUGUAAAGUACUUAAAAAUAAAUAUUAUGAUCAUGAUAAUUUUUGACUGCUAAAAAAUUCGGGUAUGAUUUGAAAAGGUAAAUCACCCAUCAAAUUAUGAAAGCAUACAGUUAGAGUGAAUUAGGAUUUUUUAUUUAUUAAAAAAUUCAAUUAUUUUACUUUCUUGUCAAUUUUUACAUGCCAUGACCCAUUACACUCGAUAAAUUUUGGGUCUUUCAUAUACUAUAAUUCUUUGUAAAGAAGUACUUGCAGUUGCUCGCACUGCUAGUUAUAAGGGAUGCCUAUCAUUAUGCGCCACCCAGGGAGGAUAAAUUUUCUCACACUUUGUACUGUAUUGCUGCUUUGCUUUGUGGUGGUAAGUCUACCCCACCUUUCUGCUGCGAUUUUUUGAGCUUGGAUAUUUUAAGGUAUCCCCUUGGGAUUCCUCCUAAUGGCCAUGUUUUGGGGUUUGCUUUUGUCAACGUGAAUAAGCAAAUAAAUCCUAUGAAACCAAACAAUACACAAAGGGCCUCAAAGCAGCUGAUGCUAUUUUGAAAAAAUUCCCAGAUCGUGGAGUUAUACUUUUUUGUGGGUUUGACAUUAAAUUGCAUGGAUCGUAAGGAUGAAUUGGUUUGCCGAGUACUUAAGAAUGACCUUAAAAGUCAUGUUUGCUGGCAUGUUUAUGGUCUCCUUUAUGACACUAGGGGAAGUUCAUAGGUACUUGAGUCAGAAAUCAGAAUGCUACUGCCCUUCUGUCGCCUUUCCAAAUUCAAGAUAAAGCUCUUAUGCAGUAUUUCUAGAAUUAUUUGUGUCUUAAACUUUUGCUGGAUUAACAAUAAAGGUGAAAGAAAGAUCUCUCUCCAGUCUCUUCCCAUUUGGAAUCUUCCAAUGCAUAACCAAAUGCCCUUACAGGUAAGAAGACACAGAACUUCAGUUUGACUUAUUUAGCUGGAAGAAGGGCUGCUAGUUAUAUUGAAGACAAAUAUGAUGCCGAUAAUAGACAAAAACCAGCUGAGAUGUUGAACUUCAAUGCUAGUGAACCUGUUGUUAUCCUUGGAUUUGGACAGAUGGGCCAGGUCCUUGCCAAUUUCCUAUCAAAUCCAUUGGCUUCAGGAGGAGAUAGUGAUGCAGUAGGAUGGCCUUAUGUGGCAUUUGAUCUUGACCGCACAGUAGUAAAGUGGGAAGAAGAAGAUUAUGGAAGCUGUUCAAAGGCUGCGAUUGACUUUUCCUGCAGUAAUAAUCUCCUUUCAAAGCCUGAGAAUUCCUGGUGCAUUUUAUAUAAAGAACUAUUUAAAGAAAAUAAUAGAAGGAUUCAUAAUACAAUUUUCUAUGACAUUCAUCUUAUAUUAUUUGACUAUAAGUUUGUAAGUUUCUGAUCUAAUAAGUUUCUACUCUU